GCAGUGGUGGUUCAGGGUAGAAUUCUCACCUUCCGUGUAGGAGACCUGGAUUUGAUUCCAGCCAACGCA
rnacentral:tRNA from 1 species